rnacentral:rRNA from 1 species
UACGUAGGUGGCGAGCGUUGUCCGGAAUUACUGGGCGUAAAGGGCGCGUAGGCGGGCAUGCAAGUCAGAUGUGAAAUCUCAAGGCUUAACCUUGAAACUGCAUCUGAAACUGUGUUUCUUGAGUGUCGGAGAGGAAAGCGGAAUUCCCCGUGUAGCGGUGAAAUGCGUAGAUAUGGGGAGGAACACCGGUGGCGAAGGCGGCUUUCUGGACGAUAACUGACGCUGAGGCGCGAAAGCGUGGGUAGCAAACAGG